GGAGAAGCAGGGGAUCGCAAGACCUUGCGCUUUUGGAGCGGCCGAUGCCUGAUUAGCUUGUUGGUGAGGUAAAAGCUCACCAAGGCUUCGAUCAGUAGCUGGUCUGAGAGGACGACCAGCCACACUGGGACUGAGACACGGCCCAGACUCCUACGGGAGGCAGCAGUGGGGAAUUUUGGACAAUGGGGGCAACCCUGAUCCAGCCAUGCCGCGUGAGUGAAGAAGGCCUUCGGGUUGUAAAGCUCUUUCAGCCGGAACGAAACGGUUACGGUUAAUACCCGUGACUACUGACGGUACCGGAAGAAGAAGCACCGGCUAACUACGUGCCAGCAGCCGCGGUAAUACGUAGGGUGCAAGCGUUAAUCGGAAUUACUGGGCGUAAAGCGUGCGCAGGUGGUUUUGUAAGUCAGAUGUGAAAUCCCCGGGCUUAACCUGGGAACUGCGUUUGAAACUACAAGGCUAG
rnacentral:rRNA from 1 species